rnacentral:tRNA from 1 species
UGCUUGGGUAGCUCAGUUGGUAGAGCACUUGCCCGUGUAAGGCAAAGGUCCCGAGUUCGAGUCUCGGCCCGGCAC